GUGGGGAAUAUUAGGCAAUGGGGGAAACCCUGACCUAGCGACGCCGCGUGAAGGAUGAAGGUUUUCGGAUUGUAAACUUCUUUGGCAGAGGACGAUAAUGACGGUACUCUGAGAACAAGCCACGGCUAACUACGUGCCAGCAGCCGCGGUAAUACGUAGGUGGCGAGCGUUGUCCGGAUUUACUGGGUGUAAAGGGCGAGUAGGCGGGCUAACAAGUCAGAUGUGAAAUACCGAGGCUCAACCUCGGGGCUGCAUUUGAAACUGUUAGUCUUGAGUGAUGGAGAGGCAGGCGGAAUUCCCAGUGUAGCGGUAAAAUGCAUAGAGAUUGGGAGGAACACCAGUGGCGAAGGCGGCCUGCUGGACAUUAACUGACGCUGAGGAGCGAAAGUGUGGGGAGCAAACAGGAUUAGAAACCCGAGUAGUCC
rnacentral:rRNA from 1 species